UGGGGAAUAUCGGGCAAUGGGCGAAAGCCUGACCCAGCCACGCCGCGUGAGUGAUGAAGGCCUUCGGGUCGUAAAGCUCUGUGGGGAGGGACGAACAAGUUGGCAGUUAAUACCUGCCGGCCCUGACGGUACCUCCUUAGCAAGCACCGGCUAACCAUGUGCCAGCAGCCGCGGUAAUACAUGGGGUGCAAACGUUGCUCGGAAUUAUUGGGCGUAAAGCGCACGUAGGUGGUCUGUUAUGUCAGAUGUGAAAGCCCUCGGCUUAACUGAGGAAGUGCACCUGAAACUGGCAGGCUUGAGUACGAAAGAGGGUCGCGGAAUUCCCGGUGUAGAGGUGAAAUUCGUAGAUAUCGGGAGGAACACCGGUGGCGAAGGCGGCGACCUGGUGCGAUACUGACACUGAGGUGCGAAAGCGUGGGGAGCAAACAG
rnacentral:rRNA from 1 species